UGCCAUCAGCCGCGGUAAUACUGAAGGUGCAAGCGUUAAUCGGAAUCACUGGGCGUAAAGCGCUCGUAGGCGGUUUCUUAAGUCUGAUGUGAAAGCCCACGGCUCAACCGUGGAGGGUCAUUGGAAACUGGGGAACUUGAGUGCAGAAGAGGAGAGUGGAAUUCCACGUGUAGCGGUGAAAUGCGUAGAGAUGUGGAGGAACACCAGUGGCGAAGGCGACUCUCUGGUCUGUAACUGACGCUGAGGCGCGAAAGCGUGGGGAGCGAACAGGAUUAGAUA
rnacentral:rRNA from 1 species